rnacentral:rRNA from 1 species
GAUGAACGCUGGCGGCGUGCUUAACACAUGCAAGUCGAACGGAAAGGCUCCUGCUUGCAGGGGUACUCGAGUGGCGAACGGGUGAGUAACACGUGGGUGAUCUGCCCUGCACUUCGGGAUAAGCCUGGGAAACUGGGUCUAAUACCGGAUAGGACGAUGGUUUGGAUGCCAUUGUGGAAAGUUUUUUCGGUGUGGGAUGAGCUCGCGGCCUAUCAGCUUGUUGGGGGGGUAAUGGCCUACCAAGGCGUCGACGGGUAGCCGGCCUGAGAGGGUGUACGGCCACAUUGGGACUGAGAUACGGCCCAGACUCCUACGGGAGGCAGCAGUGGGGAAUAUUGCACAAUGGGCGCAAGCCUGAUGCAGCGACGCCGCGUGGGGGAUGACGGCCUUCGGGUUGUAAACUCCUUUCGCUAGGGACGAAGCGCAAGUGACGGUACCUGGAGAAGAAGCACCGGCUAACUACGUG